UUGGAGGGCAAGUCUGGUGCCAGCAGCCGCGGUAAUUCCAGCUCCAAUAGCGUAUAUUAAAGUUGUUGCAGUUAAAAAGCUCGUAGUUGAAUUUCGGGAUCAAUACGUCGGUCGUGCCUCCGGUAUGUACUGGUGUUAUUGAUUUCUCCCUUCUGAUGAACCAUGAUGUCAUUAAUUUGAUGUUGUGGGGAGUCAGGACUUGUUACUUUGAAAAAAUUAGAGUGUUUAAAGCAGGCUCACGCUUGAAUACAUUAGCAUGGAAUAAUGAAAUAGGACGUUCGAUUCUAUUUUGUUGGUUUCUAGGAUCAACGUAAUGAUUAAUAGGGAUAGUUGGGGGCAUUAGUAUUCAAUUGUCAGAGGUGAAAUUCUUGGAUUUAUUGAAGACUAACUACUGCGAAAGCAUUUGCCAAGGAUGUUUUCAUUAAUCAAGAACGAAAGUUAGGGGAUCGAAGACGAUCAGAUACCGUCGUAGUCUUAACCAUAAACUAUGCCGACUAGGGAUCGGAUGAUGUUAAUUUUUUAAUGACUCAUUCGGCGCCUUACGGGAAAC
rnacentral:rRNA from 1 species